CGCAAACGCACUCUGUGUCACAUUUUGUAUUCCACGUGUGAUGACAAUUUGUCAGUUUGCCAAAUUAAAGAGAUGUGUCUUAUCCAUGUGGUCAAGCUCGACUAAGGGUGAUUACAUUGAAAACGCAUUUCACACUGA